CCUACGGGUGGCAGCAGUAGGGAAUCUUCCGCAAUGGACGCAAGUCUGACGGAGCAACGCCGCGUGAGUGAAGAAGGUUUUCGGAUCGUAAAACUCUGUUGUUAGAGAAGAACAAGUGCUACAGUAACAGUUAGCGCCUUGACGGUAUCUAACCAGAAAGCCACGGCUAACUACGUGCCAGCAGCCGCGGUAAUACGUAGGUGGCAAGCGUUGUCCGGAUUUAUUGGGCGUAAAGCGAGCGCAGGCGGUUCCUUAAGUCUGAUGUGAAAGCCCCCGGCUCAACCGGGGAGGGUCAUUGGAAACUGGGGAACUUGAGUGCAGAAGAGGAGAGUGGAAUUCCAUGUGUAGCGGUGAAAUGCGUAGAUAUAUGGAGGAACACCAGUGGCGAAGGCGACUCUCUGGUCUGUAACUGACGCUGAGGCUCGAAAGCGUGGGUAGCAAACAGGAUUAGAUACCCUGGUAGUC
rnacentral:rRNA from 1 species